AAACACUCUAAGGCUACGUUCAGACAGCAGGUCUUAAUGCACAAUUUGCAUUUUUUGGGUGAAAUCUGACUUUUGUGUGUGUGUUCGUUCAUAUUACACAUUAUAUCCGACUUCCAUCAGUUUUGUGUAUGAACUGAAUGCGACCCUGAAGUGACCCACAUGCACAAAACAGGUCCUGACCUAAUACAUGACCACGCAGACACGCUGUGUUUACGGAACUGAGUAUGUUUUUCCCACUGCUUCUCCUCCAGGGACGCAGAAUUAUGAUCAUGUUUGUCGCAUUUCGAUGAGGUAAAGGUCGGAUAAAUGCGACCUGGCCGUUCAGACUAAAGUCACAUUGCAAAUUAUCAGAUACGUAUGAAAGUGGCCUGGGUCGUAUUUGAAAAAAUCGGAUUUGCGCUGUUCAAAUUGUCUGUAACAGAUCGGAUACAGGUCACAUAUGGGCAAAAAAAUCGGAUUAGCGCCACAUUUGCCUGCCGUCUGAACGAAGCCUAAAUCAAAUGACUAGUAUGUCUAUGCAGCGAGAUACAUCCUCACAAUAAUAUCUAAGUUUUCAGAAUAAUAAACAAUAAUUUCAGUUCCCCAAAUAAUGAGCUACAUAAUGGGAUAUAUUUACAAGAUAAUAAAAAAAAAAAAACAACUUUCUCAUAAUAAUGAUU